rnacentral:ribozyme from 1 species
UGCCGAGCCACUCCUAUCCCUAUCUCCUCGUGGUACUGGCCGGGGUACGAGUAAUCUCAGGGAAGAUCGGGUAACCAACCCCGGUGGAACUUUGGUCGUAUGCUGACAGGGAAGG